rnacentral:rRNA from 1 species
CCCACCUGAUUCCAUGCCGAACUCAGAAGUGAAACACAAUAGCGCCGAUGGUAGUGUGGGGCUUCCCCAUGUGAGAGUAGGACAUCGCCAGGC